CAAUUACCUAAACCCAAAUCAGGCCUAAAACAAUUAUUCAAACUAGGGUUUCAACUUUUCUGAAACCUUAGCGCCGCAGCCGCCGCUACCUCUUCUGACCCUUGCUCUUCUGCUACUUGCCGCCACAUACUCCACCGCUCAUCUGCCUUGCUCACUUGUGCCUGCACCUGAAGUGACAAGAAUAUUAAAAAAUGAAGCUUGUAUAUUCGGCUAUAAAGCCAUUUUUAAACAAAUUGUAAAAGGGGGGGAUUUCAUUUUUUUUUUGGUAUAAAGAAACCGAUUGCAAACCAUUGUAAGGGGG
rnacentral:lncRNA from 1 species